CAAGAGCGUAUGUAAAAGUUGUUGCAGUUAAAAAGCUCGUAGUUGAACCUUGGGUUUGGUUGGCCGGUCCGCUUUUUUGCGAGUACUGGAUUCAACCGAGCCUUUCCUUCUGGCUAACUAGUCGUUUCGGCGGCUGGCGAACCAGGAUUUUUACUUUGAGAAAAUUAGAGUGUUCAAAGCAGGCAUUAGCUUGAAUAUAUUAGCAUGGAAUAAUAGAAUAGGACGUUAUGGUUCUAUUUUGUUGGUUUCUAGGACCAUCGUAAUGAUUAAUAGGGACGGUCGGGGGCAUCAGUAUUCAGUUGUCAGAGGUGAAAUUCUUGGAUUUACUGAAGACUAACUACUGCGAAAGCAUUUGCCAAGGACGUUUUCAUUAA
rnacentral:rRNA from 1 species